rnacentral:rRNA from 1 species
UACCAGCACCCCGAGUGGUCGGGACGUUUAUCGGGCCUAAAGCAUCCGUAGCCGGUUCUACAAGUCUUCCGUUAAAUCCAACUGCUUAACAGGUGGGCUGCGGAAGAUACUAUAGAGCUAGGAGGCGGGAGAGGCAAGCGGUACUCGAUGGGUAGGGGUAAAAUCCGUUGAUCCAUUGAAGACCACCAGUGGCGAAGGCGGCUUGCCAGAACGCGCUCGACGGUGAGGGAUGAAAGCUGGGGGAGCAAACCGG